AUACGGAGGGUGCAAGCGUUAAUCGGAAUAACUGGGCGUAAAGCGCACGCAGGCGGUUAGAUAAGUCAGAUGUGAAACGUCCCCGGGCUCAACCUGGGAACUGCAUUUGAAACUGUCUGACUAGAGUCUUGUAGAGGGGGGUAGAAUUCCAGGUGUAGCGGUGAAAUGCGUAGAGAUCUGGAGGAAUACCGGUGGCGAAGGCGGCCCCCUGGACAAAGACUGACGCUCAGGUGCGAAAGCGUGGGGAGC
rnacentral:rRNA from 1 species